UGGUCAACCUACGAAAGUGAAGUUAGAGACUUUAAAAUAUGGAUCAGAGAUCAAAUUUACGAACGUUUCUGUUCGAUUGUCUGUAGUGAAGAGUUGACCGAAAGAAGGACCGAAGAGUUGUAAACUGUUAGAGAGUUAUGCGAUGAUUUUUACCUGUUGGGCAUUCACGAUACAUAUGUGGAAUGAGUUCUCUUUAACCGAAACCAUUUUGUGAAGAAAGCCCGAUUCUCAGUUUCUAUACUUGGUUAUACGUGACCAAAAUGUCUAACCUAAAUGAGACUUGGAAACCCUAGAAACAAGAACUUUGGAUAAAGCAAUCUGAACAAUUUUUUUUUCUAUGCAAGUGUUAGACUUGAAAUAUCCCAAGUUUCCCAUUUUUGUGAAAUAAACACGAGUUGAAGAUGAAUCGUGGCCACCUGUUCCAAUAUUAUGUUCAAGACGGAUGCAAAAGAUGUCUUCAAUCAAGCCUAUCACUGACUAUACAAUGAUUGUUGAAUUGAAGCCUCCCGAGUGAUGAAAUGGAAAACUGCCUAAUCCUGAACUUUUCUGCGAAUCUGAUAACUGUUUUACAUCUGUUUCGGGUGAUACAUUUUUUAUUUAAACUUGUUUCAGUAGUCUUAUCCAUUGUAGGAGCAGUUCACCAACCUAUAGGUUACAAUUUAAAUUAGAUAUAAAAUGGAAGUAUUUAAAAACACCAAAUCGAUAUCUUUAUUUUCCAGAAUAAUAUGGAGACGUUUGUAACAUACUUUAAUUUCAUUUUUUAUUAGAUUGUGUUUAAACUAAAAUCUCUAAGGAAUGAAUUCAUAUUCAUCAUGAAUUUUUGGCUAAAAAUUCUCAGCAUCAUAAUAAAAUAGAAUAAUUUAAACAGUGCAUUGUUUAUAGACUAAAAGUUGAAUCUUGAAGCCAAAACUGCAUUCAUCCGAGAAUUUAGCUCAUAAGUUAUAACUCUCUGCCUUAGAAUGUUGAAUUGUACCCACAAUUUAAGGAUUGGGGUACUUUACUUCACCCAAUUAAGCAUUGGGUGAAGUAAAGGGAAUCUUCCUCUUUGAGGAAGAUCUGGAUAAAGGAAAUUAUUGACUGCAAUGUUCAAUUUUGACAUUAUCACUGAUGAAGAUUUUAUCGGAUUCCGACGAUGUUUGGAUAUUGAGAGCCACUUAACGAUUUUGCCUGAAGAGAAACCGGGCUUCCAUAUGCAGGUUUUUUUAUAAAAUAGUAUGUUUUCGGAGAAAAUACUUGGAUACGAAUGAUACUGAUUAAAUAUGAAUAUUUUCAAUCUUGCCUACAUAUGAACUUUUUAUUUCAAUAAAAAAAUCACGAUUGCA